rnacentral:rRNA from 1 species
AGUGAACGCUGGCGGCGUGCUUAACACAUGCAAGUCGAACGGUAGCAGAUAGAAGCUUGCUUCUAUGCUGACGAGUGGCGCACGGGAGUAAUGUAUAGCUAACGUGCCCCUUAGAGGGGGAUAACAGUUGGAAACGACUGCUAAUACCCCAUACUCCUUUUAUAUUAAUUAUAGAUGGGAAAUGUUUUUUCGCUAAGGGAUCGGGCUAUAUGGUAUCAGCUAGUUGGUGAGGUAAUGGCUCACCAAGGCAAUGACACCUAGCUGGUCUGAGAGGAUGAUCAGCCACACUGGAACUGAGACACGGUCCAGACUCCUACGGGAGGCAGCAGUGGGGAAUAUUGCACAAUGGACGCAAGUCUGAUGCAGCAACGCCGCGUGGAGGAUGACACAUUUCGGUGCGUAAACUCCUUUUAUAUAGGAAGAUAAUGACGGUACUAUAUGAAUAAGCACCGGCUAACUCCGUGCCAGCCGCCGCAGUAA